UACGUAGGGUGCGAGCGUUGUCCGGAAUUAUUGGGCGUAAAGAGCUCGUAGGCGGUCUGUCGCGUCGGUCGUGAAAACCUGCAGCUUAACUGUGGGCGUGCGGUCGAUACGGGCAUGACUGGAGUUCGGCAGGGGAGACUGGAAUUCCUGGUGUAGCGGUGAAAUGCGCAGAUAUCAGGAGGAACACCGGUGGCGAAGGCGGCAUCCCGGACCGGCAUUGACGCUGAGGCGCGAAAGCCAGGGGAGCAAACGGG
rnacentral:rRNA from 1 species